UACGAACCGUGCGAACGUUGUUCGGAAUCACUGGGCUUAAAGGGCGCGUAGGCGGGCGGUCAAGUCAGGGGUGAAAUCCCACGGCUCAACCGUGGAAGUGCCUUUGAUACUGGCCGUCUCGAGGGAGGUAGGGGCGUGCGGAACUUCCGGUGGAGCGGUGAAAUGCGUAGAUAUCGGAAGGAACACCGGUGGCGAAAGCGGCGCGCUGGACCUUUACUGACGCUGAGGCGCGAAAGCCAGGGGAGCAAACGGG
rnacentral:rRNA from 1 species